UUUUACCGUGGUCGUUCCCGGGGGCGUGACGUUUAUGGCAGAGUUAACCGGCGGGCGGCAGUUACCGAACUCGGACGCCUUUGGAGAGCACAUAUCCCCGUUCCCUGAGAGCACAUACGACCUUGUGUUCGAGAAUCCGACGCCCGCGGUUCCCUCGCCGCCCCAGAAGCUGCGUCCUGUCAGGGGCAGCGGCGGCAGGUCUCCGAUGGACAGCGGAGGAAAGCUGGAGGAUGUUGGUCCGGCCAAAGUUGGGUCGGGAGACGACGUGGAGGACGAGUCCAGUUCAUCGGCGGAUGAUGAUGAUGAUGAUCGUGACAAGUGUUUAAAAGCACAAGGUGAAGAACCCAUGAAACGGAAGAGAAAGACAAGUGUGAGGAGCGGAAACAGGCUUGAAAUUGAAAGGGUCGAGCUUUUUCUGGAAAGUCUGGUGAAGAAAGUGAUGGAGCAGCAUGAGCAGAUGCAUAAGCAGUUGAUAGAGGUGAUAGAAACGAAUGAGAAAGAGAGAUUAGCAAGAGAAGAAGCCUGGAAGCAGCAGGUGUUAGACAGACUGAAAAGGGAUAAGGAGAUAAGAGCCCAAGAGACAUCUCGCAGCCUUGCGCUCAUUUCCUUUAUCCAGAAUUAUUUGGGCUCUGAAAAUCAAGUCCCCCAACCAUCACCAUCACCAGUACCGGAACAAGCACCCGCACCAGCACUAGCACCAAUACCAUUAUCGGUAGUACCUAAUUAUGAUCAUCAACGGGUGGAAGGAAAUGGAAAGGCAGACAAUGGCAUGCAGGGAGACCUGAUGUUGGUGAGUAGUGAUGCAACGAAUAGAAGAUGGCCAGAAGCUGAAGUACAAGCCCUCAUAACGCUGUGGGCUGCUUUCGAACACAAGUUUCACGUCGCAGGUACUCCAAAAGGGCGCAUAUGGGAGGAGAUAUCUGUUAAGAUGGGAGAAAUGGGCUACGUCCGGUCAGGAAGGAAGUGCAGGGAGAAAUGGGAAAACAUCAACAAGUAUUUCAGAAGGUGCAUGGGACCAGACAGUAAACGUUCUGCAAAUGCCAAGCUUUGUCCAUAUUUUCAUGAAUUGGAGUUGCUCCACAAAAGCGGACUUGUAAGUUUCGGGAAUGGCUUUAACCUCACAAGCAACCAGAAUGAGGCCAAGAUUGAAAAACAGGCGCAAAAGAGUGAAAAAAGGAGUGAUGACGGUAUUCAAGCCUCUUGUGCUUUAGAUAACGGGGAUGCAAGUGAAGGCAAGUUUCAGAGAGAGAGAGAGGGGGAUGAGUUGAGAUGAAUGCUGGGGCUCCCCUGCUCUGCUCUUUGAUGGAUGGCUAAUAUUAUCAAUUAGUGGUUUGAUUGAUGUUUAGGGCUUGCAUUUAGCAGAGGCGUGGUGUUUGCUUUGCUAAUCGAAAGAGGGAGACGAACACAGUCGCAGCCACCCAAAUAGACCCAAUUCCUUGAUCCAUAUUUUCUUCAAAUGUUUAAUUAUGAUACCAGCACUCGAGUAGUGAUGAAUGUUGAGGAAUGGUGGCGGUGGCGGUGCUGCCAUUUGCCAUGCUGGUGUUUAUGUAAUCUGCACGAUGUUUGUCUGUUUAGGGAAACAAAACCAUGCCCUGCCUGACCAGAGUGUAAAGGACAUCGUCGCCCUGCCGGCCGUGGGGUUAAGAGUUACGACGUACUCUUUCACGAAAUUAAAUUAUUAAGUUCACUGUAUAUC